AUGAAGAGAAGUAAAAGGAAGAUCUUGGGUCUCAUGCUGUGUUUGUAUUUUUUUAUUCUAAACAAAGUCCGCCACAUGUCAUCAAUGGAUUUGUUGGAGAAUUCUUAUGAAAAACCAAACCCCUCUUCAUUGAGGGCACCGCUGCUGAUGUUGUUGGUGUUUUUGUUUUUUUUUUUUUUUUU